GAUAAUGCAGCACUGCGGAUGGAAGGGCAUGGCGGGGCUACCUGCGCUCAAGACCGUGACCUGGAUGCCUGCAGAUAGUCAGAAGGGCAAACCUUGUGUCCUGUGUACUCUGCCCCAAGGGCAUGUGAUGAUACAGGGUCCAAACACUGGGGUGGUGGUGGGAAGGUUCCUGUCACCUCUGUUGCUGAUUCGUGGCUGUGACAUCUUGCUGUUCCCUCAAUCAAUCAAUGAGCUCAGGAAGCUGUUUGCUACCCGUUGAUUGCAUGUCUGCCUGAGAGUCAUCAUUUCGUCUCGGGCCAACAUCAUGCUUUAACCCUGCCAUGGCUGCCAUUUCCCUGCUGCAUUGGGCUGGGGUCCUCAGGGAGGCUGCGUCACAGGUGAGGGCAGUGUCUCCUGCCCUCAUCUUUUAGGGAUUUCAUUGUUGAACUGUCCUCUGGAGAAAACGGGGGCUCAAGCCUGAAGAACCAUGGACAUCUGCAGGUAUGCUGGAGGCCUUCCUACACAGCUCACUGCCUCCUCUGCAGAAUUCCCUGAGAGGUUCAUGACCAUCCCCAUGGAAAGCAGGGAACUGGAUCUCGGGGAGGUGACGUGGCCUCAUCCACAUUCACGUGACAAGUGGCAAAGCCACUUGUCCACACCCAGCACUGUAGACUGCAAGCCCAGGGCUCUCCUAACUACAUCACACUGUCCCUUUUACACAGAAAAAGAAAUGCCACGUGGGCAGGCUCUAAGGUGGUCCUGGGGGAUUCUCUCUCUCUGCUGUUUCUGUCUUCCUGGUUCCCCCUCCCCUUGUAUUUGGGCAGGACCUGAGACAUGCUUCUAACCAACAGAAUAGACAAGGGUGAUUGAUUGGAAGAUGCUUCUGGGAUUACUUUAUACAACACUGCAACUUCUGUCUUCCACGCUGACUCUGUUCCUUGCUGGCUUUGAUGAAGCAACCUGCUGGCUCUUCUCUCCAUCUUCUCUCUCGAGAGGUCCGUGCGGCAAAGAAACUGAAUAGGCCUCCAGCCAAGAACCAGCAAGGACCUGAGGCCCUCAGUCCAUCUCCCCACAAAUAUGUGAGGUUGGAAAUGGAUCCUUCCCUAGUCAAGCCAUCAAGUGAGACCACAGCCCUGGAGGCCACUCAUGACCCACCCUGAGGCAGAGGACCUGGUCAAGUUAUGCCCAGAUUCCCGACCCACAGAGACUGUGAGAUAAUGUAUGUUGUUUUCAGACACUAAGUUUGGGAUAAUUUGUUACAAAGCAAUAGAUAGCCAAUAUACCAUUUAUUAGAAGCACUGGUUCAUGCAUUCAACAAAUAUUUAUUUGCGAGGUACUAGCACGGGUGCUUGGCAUACAUCAGUGAACAAAAGAGUAAAAUUCUUGGUCUUCUGGAG
ensembl:lncRNA